UUCAUGUUUUAAUUUUACUUUUCAAAAUGUAUUACAAUUUAUUGGCAUGCAUCACUUAAAAAACGAGAACGAGGGUUGACGCAUAAGAGUUGGCAGUCGUAUGUAUUUGUAGAUUAACAAAAUACUAAAAGUUUGAUGACUUUUUCAACUACGACUUAACUUAAAAUACAUGAGAUUGUUAGGAAAGCAUGGUCGUAACGGUCGUAAAGAUUGAGUCACGAUCUUUCUCAUCAGCCGAAAUACAACAUUUUAGAACUGAAAAUACGCGGAGUGAUUAUAGCUAGAGAAUACUUGAGAUUUAUGUACUAUUUAAAACAUGAUCAGCAGUGUUUUAUCAAAUUUAGAUACGAGGCGAAGUCGAGUAUCUUUAGGUCUGAUAAAAC
rnacentral:lncRNA from 1 species